GUACCGGGUAGCCUAGUGGACAUGGCAUCUGCCCGGUAAGCGGAAGGUCGUGGGUUCGAUUCCCGCCCCUGGACA